ensembl:lncRNA
AAAUUGGUGCGUAAUCUUCAGCUGCGGGCAUUUUCUCCUGGGAUUCAGGACAGAAAGCACACUUCCACGAACGAUGUAUCAUCGAAGAGAUGUGUGAAAAACACCUUGAGGAUUGGUUCUAAACAACGUUUGCCAUGUUUCAGUCGAUAUUAUGGAGUUCAUUUGGAUAAAAGUUAGGCGUUUUUAUGACUGGAUUUUCGUUUUUUUUUGGUAGCCAAACGUGACGCACCAAACGGAGCGAUUUCUCCUAAACAAAUAACCUUUCAGGAAAAACUGAACAUUUGCUAUCUAACAGAGUCUCCUCAUUGAAAACAUCUGAAGUUCUUCAAAGCUGGAUCCACAAAACAGAUGGCCUGGGACUUUGACUUAUCUCAACAGAAGACUACUCGAGAUUGGAAUGUCCACAGUGCAAGGUGUUCUACAUUGGACGGACAAAGAGAAGCCUUCAAGAUCGCUUAGCGGAACACAAGUACGCCAUACGGGUAGGUAAUGAAGACUACCCCAUGGCUAAGCAAUACAAGUCCCUACACCAUGGCAGCCCUGCCUCCCUACAAGCGAUGGGUAUUGAUCAUAUUCCGGCCUCUAUUAGAAAAGGGGACCGUCUUAAACAGUUAAACCAAAGGGAAAGUUUUUGGAUUUACAAACUACUAAAUACACUGGCCACUAAAUACCCUGGUUUAAAUGAAGAUAUGGAUUUCUCACCCUUCCUGUAGGGUCGUGAUGGGUCCAUUUGCUGUCAUCUAGUGGACAUUUUGCUCUAUUGCCCUCAGCUAUUGUUAGACUGUUCAUGUUUUGCUGUGUUCUAGUGUACUAUGGAAUAUAUAGCUUUCUUAUUCUUGGCACCUCUCCCAGUCAUAUUUAAAGGUUAGAACUACCUUUUAGUGUUCUGAUACUUCUAGUUUGGAGUUGUAUUUUUAUGAUAACAUUGCUACAGUAUUUCACCUUUUAAUGUGUAUAGUAUUGCUUACAAGGUGUGUCCAAUCAAUUGUGUAACCACUCCUUCUUCCAAUUAGGGCUAAUUGUAAAGCUGUUAAAAAGAGGACCUUGUAUUCCUUUUGUUGUACUCCCUGACGAAGGCCAUGCAGACGAAAUGCGUCGGUUAAAAAAAAAAAAAAAAC